AAGGUUAUACUUACAGGGAUCAUUUCUAUAGGCAAUCAUGGGAGAAAUGUGCUUGAAAGCGUUAAAACUUGGCAACCACCAUGAUGAGUUUAAGAGCUCUCUUCUCAGCAUGAAGGUAGUUAGCAACUCUGUUCAUGCAGAUGUUGUUAGCUUUUGAUGACUGUCCUAUGUCUUAAUAAAGAAGUGGUAGAAGAGUGCUCAUUCAGAGUGGC